rnacentral:rRNA from 1 species
UACGUAGGGUGCGAGCGUUGUCCGGAAUUACUGGGCGUAAAGAGCGUGUAGGCGGCCAAGUAGGUCCGGUGUGAAAACUCGAGGCUUAACCUCGAGAUGUCAUCGGAAACCAUUUGGCUAGAGUCCGGAAGAGGAAAGUGGAAUUCCUGGUGUAGCGGUGAAAUGCGUAGAGAUGUGGAGGAACACCGAUGGCGAAGGCAGCCCCCUGGGUUAACACUGACGCUCAGGCACGAAAGCGUGGGGAGCAAACAGG